ACUUCUUUCAGUGUGAGAUGAUAAACACUCUUCCCUGACUAACCACUUUGGAAGGAGUCUUCUGUGAUACGAGGGUUCAAACCACAGACUUCACCUCGGAAGGCUUUCCCCGGUGACCCACCCUGGUCUCCUA
rnacentral:lncRNA from 1 species